CCUACGGGUGGCAGCAGUGAGGAAUAUUGGUCAAUGGACGCGAGCCUGAACCAGCCAAGUAGCGUGAAGGAUGACUGCCCUAUGGGUUGUAAACUUCUUUUAUACAGGAAUAAAGUCAGGUACGGGUACCUGUUUGCAUGUACCUUAUGAAUAAGGAUCGGCUAACUCCGUGCCAGCAGCCGCGGUAAUACGGAGGAUUCGAGCGUUAUCCGGAUUUAUUGGGUUUAAAGGGAGCGUAGGUGGUUGUGUAAGUUAGUUGUGAAAGUUUGGGGCUCAACCGCAAAAUUGCAUUUGAUACUGGUGGUCUUGAGUGUAGUUGAGGUAGGCGGAAUGCGUGGUGUAGCGGUGAAAUGCUUAGAUAUCACGAAGAACACCGAUUGCGAAGGCAGCCUGCCAAGCUACAACUGACAUUGAGGCACGAAAGUGUGGGUAUCAAACAGGAUUAGAUACCCGUGUAGUC
rnacentral:rRNA from 1 species